CGGGACGGGUGAGUAAUGUCUGGGAAAUGCCUGAUGGAGGGGGGUAACUACUGGAAACGGUAGCUAAUACCGCAUAACGUCGCAAGACCAAAGAGGGGGACCUUCGGGCCUCUUGCCAUCGGAUGUGCCCAGAUGGGAUUAGCUAGUAGGUGGGGUAACGGCUCACCUAGGCGACGAUCCCUAGCUGGUCUGAGAGGAUGACCAGCCACACUGGAACUGAGACACGGUCCAG
rnacentral:rRNA from 1 species